GGAAGCGGUGCAUCUCCUCAAACUGAGCAGAUAUCUGGGCUGAUAGCUGUUUGGACCUCAUCUGUAGUGUUUAAAGAGGUAUUUUUGGGUUGACUUUAUUCCUAACUAUUUGUGAACUACUACAGCAGUACAGUGUCUUGCAUCAGAGGGUCAGUACUGACGUUGAGGUAGCGUCCAAGGUUUCCCUCCAGCUUGGCAUCAAUGAUGUAACAAGACUCCUCCCCAUCAAAGAACUGCCGUGUGCUUUUGGAACCACUGUCUCCGGCACCGCCUCCAUGGCCCUGAUGGGCUGCCGAGCCCCCAGUUCCACCACCUCCUGUUUUCACCAUCAUGCUGUGCGAGGACUUUAAAGCAAUGCCUCGUGUCGAUUUCACUGCCACCUGCCUCUUCACCACCGCUGAGAGAGAGAGAGAGAGAGAGAGAAAGAGAGAAAGGGAGAGAGAUGGAGAGAUAAGAGAUUAACAAGAGAGUCAAACAGUCAAUGAAUAGUAAAAGAAAAGACCUGAGUGCCUGGGUUAAAGAAAAUUUCCAUUAACAAAGCAGAAAGCCGAAUAUGUAAGCUCUGCUUUCUGCAAAUCUUACUAUGAAAAGACAAAUCUAGAUAGCAUUCUCAGAUUGAGAAGAACAAAAGAUACAAUCUCACCAAGAUAAUGAUUUUGAGGCACCACAAUUGAAGUACAGAUGCCUUGAAUUAUAAUUUUCUUUUUCUCUCCUUGUUUAAAAAUCUAACAGCAUAGCUGUCAGUCAUGCAUUUCAAUGGAAAAUGAUGCUUAGUGUGAAUAGAAGCAAUACGGUGAUGUUUCUGAUGAGGAAAUGCUUGUCUAAUAAAGAUUUGUUCAUCAACUACA